rnacentral:rRNA from 1 species
GGAAUAUUGCGCAAUGGGCGAAAGCCUGACGCAGCGACGCCGCGUGUGGGAGGAAGCCUUUCGGGGUGUAAACCACUGUCAGAGGGGAAGAACAGCGUUUCGUCGAACAGGCGGAGCGUUUGACGGUACCCCCAAAGCACGCGCCGGCUAACUCCGUGCCAGCAGCCGCGGUAAGACGGAGGGCGCAAGCGUUGUUCGGAAUUACUGGGCGUAAAGCGCGGGCAGGUGGCUCGUUAAGUCGUUUGUGAAAAUCCGGGGCUCAACCCCGUGAAAUGCAUACGAUACUGGCGAGCUAGAGAUCGGUAGAGGCUAGCGGAAUUCCUGGUGUAGCGGUGGAAUGCGUAGAUAUCAGGAAGAACACCCGUGGCGAAGGCGGCUAGCUGGGCCGAGUCUGACACUCAUCCGCGAAAGCGUGGGGAGCAAAC